rnacentral:rRNA from 2 species
AGGCAUUGAGCUAACUGAUACUAAUUGCCCGUGAGGCUUAACCAUACAACACCCAAGGGGUUUUGAUGGACUCGAAGCAAGAACAGAAUUGAAUGUGUAGAGAACACAGAAACAGCUUUCCGAAUUAAAGAAUUUGCUUGGCGACCAUAGCGUUUUGGACCCACCUGA